UACAGAGGGUCAGCAGCUGUUGGUCGAUUCAUUGGGCGUAAAGGGUGCGUAGGCGGCGCGGUAAGUCGGGUGUGAAAUCUCGGAGCUUAACUCCGAAACUGCAUUCGAUACUGCCGUGCUUGAGGACUGGAGAGGAGACUGGAAUUUACGGUGUAGCGGUGAAAUGCGUAGAUAUCGUAAGGAAGACCAGUGGACGGAAGGCGGGUCUCUGGACAGUUCCUGACGCUGAGGCACGAAGGUCAGGGGAGCAAACGGG
rnacentral:rRNA from 1 species